rnacentral:sRNA from 3 species
UUGCUAUCUGCAAUAUACAAGAUUCGAGCCUGCUGCAGGUUCGGGUCGAACGCAGUGAGACAACGGAGCCGCCUGCGGCGACGACCCGGAGGGCGAGGCGAAGCCGAGUUAUCCUGCACGACCCACCA